rnacentral:rRNA from 1 species
UACAGAGGGUGCAAGCGUUGUUCGGAAUUAUUGGGCGUAAAGGGCGCGUAGGCGGUGCUGUAAGUCUGUGGUGAAAUCUCUGGGCUCAACUCAGAGUCUGCCAUAGAAACUGCAGUGCUAGAGUGUGGGAGAGGUGCGUGGAAUUCCCGGUGUAGCGGUGAAAUGCGUUGAUAUCGGAAGGAACGCCGGUGGCGAAAGCGACGUGCUGGACCUCUUCUGACGCUGAGGCGCGAAAGCUAGGGGAGCAAACAGG